GGGCAGAAACGAGGUGAUUUCGUCAGCCUUCCAAGUUACAUGUCGAGGGUUCGAGUCCCUUCGCCCG
rnacentral:tRNA from 1 species